UACGUAGGGUGCAAGCGUUGUCCGGAAUUAUUGGGCGUAAAGAGCUCGUAGGCGGUUUGUCGCGUCUGCUGUGAAAACCCGAGGCUCAACCUCGGGCCUGCAGUGGGUACGGGCAGACUAGAGUGCGGUAGGGGAGACUGGAAUUCCUGGUGUAGCGGUGAAAUGCGCAGAUAUCAGGAGGAACACCGGUGGGCGAAGGCGGGGUCUCUGGGCCGUAACUGACG
rnacentral:rRNA from 1 species